GAGAGAGUAAGGGAGGCACUGACCGGUUGCAAAAUAGAGAUCCCUGGAUGCUCUCUAGGCUCGUCCACAUCCCCUCGGAACACACACACACACACACACACACGCACGCACACACACACACAUACACACACAUACACACACAUACACACACAUACACACACAUACACACACAUACACACACAUACACACACAUACACACCGCCGCCAACAUACACAUGCACACUGCAGCAGCCUGUGGCGUCCCCCCCGAUGGACGGUAAAGCUGAUGUUGAUGCUGGCUGAAUCCCGAGGUGGCCCCUCCAGGUGUCCUGGCUCGGAGGAACUCCUCAUCCUGCAAGUCGUCCCAACAUCAGGCACACGCAUAUUACGGGCAUUCGCGCUCCCGGCGCAACCGCAUAGCCCUGGGCCCGCCGGUUUUGUGAUUUGAUUCCCUCUCACCGUCAGAAUCCACCGGGCGGCUGUAUGCUGCUGUCAUUUUUUAUAGCGCGCGGGCUCUGUCUUUACUCUGGUUGUGUGUGUGAGUGUGUGGCUUGCAUUGGUGCCUUUGUGUUUUUCGUACAGCCGGUAUGCUUCAAGGAGAGCACGCCGGACCGAAUCGAUGACGCAACCUCCCGGAGGCCCGCCGCGACACCCGGCAGCAGCAGCAGUAGCGGCGGUACGACACCCGGUAGC
rnacentral:lncRNA from 1 species